CUGAAUAACUCAGCUGAUCGUACGGUCUCGUACCGACGACGUAUCUUCCAAGUGUCUGCCUUAUCAACUUUUGAUGGUAGUUUAUGCGACUACCAUGGUUGUAACGGGUAACGGAGAAUAAGGGUUCGACUCCGGAGAGGGAGCCUGAGAAACGGCUACCACAUCCAAGGAAGGCAGCAGGCGCGCAAAUUACCCAAUCUCAGUUCGAGGAGGUAGUGACGAAAAAUAACAAGACGGUUCUCUAUGAGGCCCGUUAUUGGAAUGAGUACAAUUCAAACCCUUUAACGAGGAUCUACGAGAGGGCAAGUCUGGUGCCAGCAGCCGCGGUAAUUCCAGCUCUCGAAGUGUAUAUCAUUGUUGUUGCGGUUAAAAA
rnacentral:rRNA from 1 species